AGCAUCCCCAGUAUUAGAGGCACUGCCUGCCCAGUGACUAGACGUUAAACGGCCGCGGUAUCCUGACCGUGCAAAGGUAGCAUAAUCAUUUGUUCUCUAAAUAAGGACUUGUAUGAACGGCAACACGAGAGUUUUACUGUCUCUUACUUCCAAUCAGUGAAAUUGACCUCCCCGUGAAGAGGCGGGGAUAUAUUAACAAGACGAGAAGACCCUAUGGAGCUUUAACUAACUAACCCAAAGAAAACACUCUCAACCAUCAAGGGAUAAUAACACUCUUUAUGGGCUAGCAGUUUUGGUUGGGGCGACCUCGGAGAACAAAAAAUCCUCCGAACGAUUUUAAAGGCUAGACCUACAAGUCAAACCAAAUUAUCGCUUAUUGAUCCAAAAACUUGAUCAACGGAACAAGUUACCCUAGGGAUAACAGCGCAAUCCUAUUCAAGAGUCCAUAUCGACAAUAGGGU
rnacentral:rRNA from 1 species